rnacentral:rRNA from 1 species
GGAUUAGGCAUGCAAGUCGCACGAGAAAGGCUUCUUCGGAAGCCGAGUAAAGUGGCGAACGGGUGAGUAAUGCAUAGACAACUUGCCCUUGAGAUGGGGACAACGCCUCGAAAGGGGUGCUAAUACACAAUGCCGCCUUGGGCCUGCGGGUCCAGGGUGAAAAGGAGGCCUCUGAUUCAAGCUUCCGCUCAAGGAGAGGUUUAUGUCCUAUUAGCUAGUUGGCGGGGUAAUGGCCCACCAAGGCUGCGAUGGGUAGCCGACCUGAGAGGGUGACCGGCCACAUUGGGACUGAGACACUGCCCAGACUCCUACGGGAGGCUGCAGUCGAGAAUCUUCCGCAAUGCGCGCAAGCGUGACGGAGCGACGCCGCGUGGGUGAUGAAGGCCUUCGGGUUGUAAAACCCUGUCAGCUACUACGAAACACGGGCGAUGAACAAUCGUCCCGUCUGACUUAAGCAGCAGAGGAAGCACCGGCUAACUACGUGCCAGCAGCCGCGGUAAUACGUAGGGUGCAAACGUUGUUCGGAAUCACUGGGCAUAAAGGGCGCGUAGGCGGUCUGAUAAGUCAGGUGUGAAAUCCCUCGGCCUAACCGAGGAACUGCAUUUGAUACUGUCGGGCUAGAGUACAGGAGGGGAGAGUGGAAUUCCUGGUGGAGCGGUGAAAUGCGUAGAUAUCAGGAGGAACGCCGGCGGCGAAAGCGACUCUCUGGCCCGUUACUGACGCUGAGGCGCGAAAGCUAGGGGAGCAAACGGGAUUAGAUACCCCGGUAGUCCUAGCCCUAAACGAUGGGCACUAAGUAGAGGGGUUUU